rnacentral:rRNA from 1 species
AAAUUGAAGAGUUUGAUCAUGGCUCAGAUUGAACGCUGGCGGCAGGCCUAACACAUGCAAGUCGAACGGUAACAGGAAGAAGCUUGCUUCUUUGCUGACGAGUGGCGGACGGGUGAGUAAUGUCUGGGAAACUGCCUGAUGGAGGGGGAUAACUACUGGAAACGGUAGCUAAUACCGCAUAACGUCGCAAGACCAAAGAGGGGGACCUCCGGGCCUCUUGCCAUCGGAUGUGCCCAGAUGGGAUUAGCUAGUAGGUGGGGUAACGGCUCACCUAGGCGACGAUCCCUAGCUGGUCUGAGAGGAUGACCAGCCACACUGGAACUGAGACACGGUCCAGACUCCUACGGGAGGCAGCAGUGGGGAAUAUUGCACAAUGGGCGCAAGCCUGAUGCAGCCAUGCCGCGUGUAUGAAGAAGGCCUUCGGGUUGUAAAGUACUUUCAGCGGGGAGGAAGGGAGUAAAGUUAAUACCUUUGCUCAUUGACGUUACCCGCAGAAGAAGCACCGGCUAACUCCGUGCCAGCAGCCGCGGUAAUACGGAGGGUGCAAGCGUUAAUCGGAAUUACUGGGCGUAAAGCGCACGCAGGCGGUUUGUUAAGUCAGAUGUGAAAUCCCCGGGCUCAACCUGGGAACUGCAUCUGAUACUGGCAAGCUUGAGUCUCGUAGAGGGGGGUAGAAUUCCAGGUGUAGCGGUGAAAUGCGUAGAGAUCUGGAGGAAUACCGGUGGCGAAGGCGGCCCCCUGGACGAAGACUGACGCUCAGGUGCGAAAGCGUGGGGAGCAAACAGGAUUAGAUACCCUGGUAGUCCACGCCGUAAACGAUGUCGACUUGGAGGUUGUGCCCUUGAGGCGUGGCUUCCGGAGCUAACGCGUUAAGUCGACCGCCUGGGGAGUACGGCCGCAAGGUUAAAACUCAAAUGAAUUGACGGGGGCCCGCACAAGCGGUGGAGCAUGUGGUUUAAUUCGAUGCAACGCGAAGAACCUUACCUGGUCUUGACAUCCACGGAAGUUUUCAGAGAUGAGAAUGUGCCUUCGGGAACCGUGAGACAGGUGCUGCAUGGCUGUCGUCAGCUCGUGUUGUGAAAUGUUGGGUUAAGUCCCGCAACGAGCGCAACCCUUAUCCUUUGUUGCCAGCGGUCCGGCCGGGAACUCAAAGGAGACUGCCAGUGAUAAACUGGAGGAAGGUGGGGAUGACGUCAAGUCAUCAUGGCCCUUACGACCAGGGCUACACACGUGCUACAAUGGCGCAUACAAAGAGAAGCGACCUCGCGAGAGCAAGCGGACCUCAUAAAGUGCGUCGUAGUCCGGAUUGGAGUCUGCAACUCGACUCCAUGAAGUCGGAAUCGCUAGUAAUCGUGGAUCAGAAUGCCACGGUGAAUACGUUCCCGGGCCUUGUACACACCGCCCGUCACACCAUGGGAGUGGGUUGCAAAAGAAGUAGGUAGCUUAACCUUCGGGAGGGCGCUUACCACUUUGUGAUUCAUGACUGGGGUGAAGUCGUAACAAGGUAACCGUAGGGGAACCUGCGGUUGGAUCACCUCCUUACCUUAAAGAAGC